GACGAACGCUGGCGGCGUGCUUAACACAUGCAAGUCGUACGGUAAGGCCCUUUCGGGGGUACACGAGUGGCGAACGGGUGAGUAACACGUGAGUAACCUGCCCACAACUUUGGGAUAACGCUAGGAAACUGGUGCUAAUACUGGAUAUGUUCUCCUGCUGCAUGGUGGGGGUUGGAAAGCUCCGGCGGUUGUGGAUGGACUCGCGGCCUAUCAGCUUGUUGGUGGGGUAGUGGCCUACCAAGGCGGCGACGGGUAGCCGGCCUGAGAGGGUGACCGGCCACAUUGGGACUGAGAUACGGCCCAGACUCCUACGGGAGGCAGCAGUGGGGAAGAUUGCACAAGGGGCGCAAGCCUGAUGCAGCAACGCCGCGUGCGGGAUGACGGCCUUCGGGUUGUAAACCGCUUUCAGCAGGGACGAAGCUUUUUGUGACGGUACCUGCAGAAGAAGCACCGGCUAACUACGUG
rnacentral:rRNA from 1 species